CAGAGAAGGGAAUGAGCUCCUACGGCUAUGGCCGCCAAAAGGUGCCCGUAAACAACACUGAGGGCUGCUACACGUAGGGCGAGGUCGUGGGUAGCCUGCAAUCCAAUGCAUACUUACCUGGAAAUUUAUGCAAACAGAUGAAGAACGAAUAGUCAGUAAACAGGUAGUCUGAAAGUGAUCUAACUGCUCCUGCGAGUGGCAUCUUCAGCAAAGCAGUGAAACAGCCUGAAGAUCUAAGGUUCUAAAGAGCAACACUGAGACUAAGGAGGAGGAAGCUGACAGCCAGGACCACCCUCUGGAUUGGUUGCAAGUAAGAAGGCAGGCAGGUGGGGGGUAGCUGAGGGCAUACCGAGAUUGGUCGGGCAGCAUCCCAUUUGUCUUAAUGCGGCAGCCUCCCCUGAGGCCACAACCCAAACAGCAAACAGUGUGCAAGUCUUUGAGUCCCUCUACAAAAACAAGAUCGCAAUCAUCAUACAUUAGGCAAGAGGUGGGACAGAGUCGCAAUUGGGAUCAAAUCUGCUGGUAAAGAAUAAAAGAACAUUCAUACACCGGGAACUUGUCACGUGAUUGUUUGUAGCGCCUUGCCUAGAACCGACACUGGAAAACAGCAGGAUCCUCUUGGACAGGAUGGUUGGACAGGGUUUGGAACAUGGCCCUAUCAGAGAGAUUGGCCUGUCAUCACAGGAUACUCAGAGGAGUAGCAAAACAGGAUUACGUUUGAUGCCAUUUUGUUACCCUUCUUGUCUU